UGCAAGUCGAACGGUAACAGGUUAAGCUGACGAGUGGCGAACGGGUGAGUAAUGUAUCGGAACGUGCCCAGUCGUGGGGGAUAACUGCUCGAAAGAGCAGCUAAUACCGCAUACGACCUGAGGGUGAAAGCGGGGGAUCGCAAGACCUCGCGCGAUUGGAGCGGCCGAUAUCAGAUUAGGUAGUUGGUGAGGUAAAGGCUCACCAAGCCGACGAUCUGUAGCCGGUCUGAGAGGACGACCAGCCACACUGGGACUGAGACACGGCCCAGACUCCUACGGGAGGCAGCAGUGGGGAAUUUUGGACAAUGGGCGCAAGCCUGAUCCAGCCAUGCCGCGUGCGGGAAGAAGGCCUUCGGGUUGUAAACCGCUUUUGUCAGGGAAGAAAAGGUUCUGGCUAAUACCUGGGACUCAUGACGGUACCUGAAGAAUAAGCACCGGCUAACUACGUGCCAGCAGCCGCGGUAAUACGUAGGGUGCAAGCGUUAAUCGGAAUUACUGGGCGUAAAGCGUGCGCAGGCGGUUAUGCAAGACAGAGGUGAAAUCCCCGGGCUCAACCUGGGAACUGCCUUUGUGACUGCAUGGCUAGAGUACGGUAGAGGGGGAUGGAAUUCCGCGUGUAGCAGUGAAAUGCGUAGAUAUGCGGAGGAACACCGAUGGCGAAGGCAAUCCCCUGGACCUGUACUGACGCUCAUGCACGAAAGCGUG
rnacentral:rRNA from 1 species